UCACAAACAAUUCUUGAAUUUUUCACUGUUUUGCAAAUAAAAAAAUUGUCAGAAUGAUUGCUGCAAAAAUUGUGAUAAUGGCGCUGGUCAUGGUCCUCGGCUCUCGCGAGAUCGAGUUCCUCAGGACAGUAUAAUAAUAAUCUGGUGGAUACCAGGGAAUGCCCUCACACUAUCGGAAUCUCCAAAUUUAUUUUCCAAUUAUGCAUAUAACAAAGAUUUUCCUGAUGCACCAUUUCGAUAGUAUGUUAUUUCCAAAAAGCAUGUACUUCACUUAUUUAUUUCAAAUAAAUAUUCAGCACUAGAAA